AUUGAACGCUGGCGGCAGGCCUAACACAUGCAAGUCGAGCGGAUGACGGGAGCUUGCUCCUUGAUUCAGCGGCGGACGGGUGAGUAAUGCCUAGGAAUCUGCCUGGUAGUGGGGGACAACGUUUCGAAAGGAACGCUAAUACCGCAUACGUCCUACGGGAGAAAGCAGGGGACCUUCGGGCCUUGCGCUAUCAGAUGCGCCUAGGUCGGAUUAGCUAGUAGGUGAGGUAAUGGCUCACCUAGGCGACGAUCCGUAACUGGUCUGAGAGGAUGAUCAGUCACACUGGAACUGAGAUACGGUCCAGACUCCUACGGGAGGCAGCAGUGGGGAAUAUUGGACAAUGGGCGAAAGCCUGAUCCAGCCAUGCCGCGUGUGUGAAGAAGGUCUUCGGAUUGUAAAGCACUUUAAGUUGGGAGGAAGGGCAGUAAGUUAAUACCUUGCUGUUUUGACGUUACCGACAGAAUAAGCACCGGCUAACUCUGUGCCAGCCGCCGCCGUAACAC
rnacentral:rRNA from 1 species